ensembl:lncRNA
CAAAUUCAUACCAUUAUAGAGCAUUUCCUUCUAUCCUUCUUCUUUCUUUUUACUUCUCUCAAGUUCGGAAAUGACAGAUAAUAAAAAAAAAAUUAAAGAAAAUUCAUCUGAAUGCUGUAUUUUCCUGGAAUUAACUCCAUUAUAGCAAUUCUUUCUCUUUUUUUUAGAUGAGAGAAACCUAGGCAAUCGUCCUGGGACUUUGGAAUAAAGCACCUACUUACUCCUGCUUGUAUCAACUGUAGAAAGACUCAUAGUGUUUUUGCCUGGAGAAAGGCAUUAUUCUUCCUUCAGAAUCACCUGCUUCUCAAACCUACUCUUGAAGAGGAAGACGUUGUAAACAGCUCGGUGCAUAAACCCGCAGAUGUUUGAUGCAUGCCUGAACCAGCUAAGUCUGUUCC